UCUCUUCAUCUCGCUCUCUCUCUCUCUUUCUCUCUUUCUCCCUCUCUCUUUAUCCCCCUCUCUCUCUAUCUCUCACAUGUAGACAUUCUGUGAAUCAGUGCACGGACCAGAUUUGAAGAUAAAAAAACAAGACACCUUGAAGAUCUGGAUACAAUUAUCUCCGAUACAGCCGGUUACCUGCUGUGGUGCCUGCUGGGGUUUUGCUCCAACCCUACCUGUGCUCCAAAACAGGCCCCUAUGAAUGAGGCCCUACUGGCGGUGCAUCCCCCGCAGCGCAUGGUUCCCCUGACUGCCUCUUCCAGCUGGCUCAUUGUCAGGACCCCGUGCAGUGCUCCCUGGAAUGCACCUGGCAAGGCUGGGGAUAGGAACCGCAGACACAGAUAAGGACCAAGAGCACCACACCAAUGUUGUUUUGAAAACCUGACUGACGUUGUGUCAUCUGACGCUGGAGGACUGCCCAGAUAUACUGAGACGGUUAUAACACUGCAACGAUGACUCAUGAAAAAGGCCAGAGGUCUGAGAGAGACCGGUAGGGGGUCAUAUAUUCUGAUCUGUUAUUGCAUCGCUCAGGUUUAAGAUAAGAUGGUUUAAUAAAAUAUGUUACUCAGUGAAACCAUGGUAACCUUUUUUUGAAUAUAGUGUUUGCUCCCAGGACACUCAUGUGGGUGACCCCCCUCCAUUUCCAUGUUUGUAUGCUUUCCACUCCACUGCUUUGUCCAUCAGUUAUACACAGCUGAUGCCCUCUGGCCGUCUGAUCUGAUCCCCCUCAUCCUAACCCUCUCCUGGGUCUCCCAGCCCAUUGAUUCAUCAGGUCUCUCCUGGCCCUUUUAGACCAGCCACAUACUGACAGUGUUAGGGUUAUAUCAUUCAGACGAUCAAUACAGGAGAAAAAAACAAUGAUUGCCCCUGUGCUAACCUAUGGUGCCUCUUCUAUCACUUAGGGCCUAUAAUGCUAGCUCUCAGAUCCAUUUAGACCGUAUCUGCUCUGUCCAGUGUUUUGACAAUUCAUCUGUAAGACAGUAAACCUCAGCUCAGUAAUAUUAUAUUUAUAUACUAACCAUAAUACACAUAUAAUAACUUUAUAAUAAAUCAUGUUUAUACCAUAGGAUUAUACUAUGGGACAAGGCCUAGGUCAAAUCUAACAUAGCACACCAUGAGAAGUGUUUGUUCCUGCAAAAGGCUAAUGUUACAUUCUGGAUGUAGCUUAAAUAAAAACACCUGCCCACCCGACCAAUCCAGCAACAUCAUCUCAGGAUGUGGAGUGAAAGGAGCCCUGUGGUGUAAAGAUAUUAUCCAUUGUCACCAGAUGAAAUGUCAGUGUGAGCGAGGGCCGAGGAGAGGGUUUCCAUAUAUUACAAACACGAUGCCGGGCUCGGGAGAGAAGUGGAUUGUGGGAAUGUGGGCUAUGUGACAGGGCCUGGGUGCUCAGGAGGACUGAUCAUCUGGCUGCCCAGUGGGGGUAUGCCACUAUGCCAAGCCUCCGAAAUAGCGGCAGGGACUGAGAGAGGGAAGAGGAGAUAGCUUGACAGUGAGCCUGGCCUGAACACAUAGUGCCCCUGUCUCUCUCUCUCCCUCUAUCUCUUUCUCUCUAUCCCUCCCUCCCUCCCUCCACUGCAUUCCUCUGUUGGCCCUGCCCUGUCAGGCUUCCAAUAUCCAAAUAUGAGUUCAAAAAAAUACAAAUACAGUACAAAUACGGUCAGUGCUUUUCAGCCGGUCUCCAUCGACUGUGUCUCGUAUCUCAUAUUUUUGAUUUGUUAAAAAAGUUUUAAAUAUCCAAUAAAUGUCGUUCCACUUCA